rnacentral:rRNA from 1 species
CCCUUAGAUGUUCUGGGCCGCACGCGCGCUACACUGACGAAGUCAGCGAGCAUGUCCUACGCCGACAGGUGCGGGGAAUCUUGUCAAACUUCGUCGUGAUGGGGAUUGAUUAUUGAAAUUCUUGAUCAUCAACGAGGAAUUCCUAGUAAGCGCAAGUCAGCAGCUUGCGUUGAUUACGUCCCUGUCCUUUGUACACACCGCCCGUCGCUACUACCGAUUGAAUGGUUUAGUGAGAUCUUCGGAUUGGCGCCACUGCGGCUCAGCAAUGGGCUCGGUGGAUGCCGAAAAGUUGAUCAAACUUGAUCAUUUAGAGGAAGUAAAAGUCGUAACA